UUCGAUUCUGGCUCAGGACGAACGCUGGCGGCAUGCCUAACACAUGCAAGUCGAACGGGGGUAGCAAUACCCUAGUGGCGAACGGGUGAGUAACACAUAAGCAAUCUGCCCUUCACAGGGGGAUAACAGCGGGAAACUGCUGCUAAUACCGCAUAAGACCACGGUACCGCAUGGUACAGGGGUAAAAACGAAUCAGUGGUGAAGGAUGAGCUUAUGUCCCAUUAGCUAGUUGGUGAGAUAACAGCCCACCAAGGCGACGAUGGGUAGCCGACCUGAGAGGGUGAUCGGCCACACUGGAACUGAGACACGGUCCAGACUCCUACGGGAGGCAGCAGUGGGGAAUAUUGGGCAAUGGAAGGAAACUCUUACCCAGCAAUGCCGCGUGAGUGAAGAAGGUCUUCGGAUUGUAAAGCUCUUUGAUUGGGGACGAAGAAAGUGACGGUACCCAAAGAACAAGCCCCGGCUAACUACGUGCCAGCCGCCGC
rnacentral:rRNA from 1 species